GUAUGUAAAGCUAAACUAGAAGCGUUGGUCUUGUAAACCAAAGACUGAAUUAAAACUCUACAUACU
rnacentral:tRNA from 2 species